GAUGAAGAACGUACCGAAAUGCGAUAAGUAAUGUGAAUUGCAGAAUUCAGUGAAUCAUCGAAUCUUUGAACGCACAUUGCGCCCGCCAGUAUUCUGGCGGGCAUGCCUGUUCGAGCGUCAUUACAACCCUCAGGCCCCCGGGCCUGGCGUUGGGGAUCGGCGGAGCCCCCCGUGGGCACACGCCGUCCCCCAAAUGCAGUGGCGGUCCCGCCGCAGCUUCCAUCGCGUAGUAGCUAACACCUCGCGACUGGAGAGCGGCGCGGCCACGCCGUAAAACACCCAACUCUUCUGAAGUUGACCUCGAAUCAGGUAGGAAUACCCGCUGAACUUAAGCAUAUCAAUAAGCGGAGGA
rnacentral:misc_RNA from 1 species